rnacentral:lncRNA from 1 species
UCUGGUGGGUGCAGGUGGGCCACCUCUGGUUGGUGCAGGUGGGCCACCUCUUCGGAGAUGAAUAUAUAAUACAGGGGAAGCAAAGCGUUGCAUAUUAUAAUAUAACAGUACAAUAAUAGCAAUGCGUUAUAGAUUAUCCUAUAUAUGUAAUGAAUAAUCUCUUCAUCUCUCUGCAAACAUUGUUCCUAUACUUGUUUCUUUAUGGUGAAGGAUCUGCUGUACCUUCAGUGUUAGUGUUCUAAUUAGCUAUAUCACUGCAUGCCAUGUGUAAGAAAAUCAUUGAAAAAUGCUAUGAUAUAUCAUAAUGAUGUUCCUACUAUUUUGUAUCGUGUGUUGAAUAAACUUGUAUGUGGAUGUUACUAAAAAAUUUAACUCUAAUGAUUCAAAAUGUAUUAUAAAAUAGGUAUUACUUUCAUUUUUUAAAAUCACAACUUAACGAACGAGGGUUGUAACACAAGUCCAAUGAAUUUUUAAUAGUCACUAUAGGCCUAACGUGAUAAUAACAAUAAACUAUAAAAUACAAGAAAAAGGCUUUUUAAAAACAAUACGGAACUCGCUUUUUAAAGUUGGCUAAACAUCACUCGAGCGUGUGACAAUAUUUUCCAAGUUUAAAAUUGAUUUCUCUUAAUUUUAAAAUAAUUUUUUAUGAAUAGAAAAGAGAAAACUUACCCCUGGUAACUUUAAAAAAUGGUGGCUCAAAAUGAAUUGGUAUAAACACAAAUAAUAAUAAAAUCCGAUUUACUCUUUUGAUACAUUGACUAUCAAUUGAAAGAAAAUGGUUUAAAAAUGCAAGAAAUGGUAAGAAAACCUACCUGAUAGAAAAUCUCGAGAGCUUCAUCAUUGAGUGCUGGUUGAUGAGCUUUCAUUAUAGCUACUUACAAAUAUCAAAAAGUGCAAAAUGAGGUAAAAAAGAAAAUCAAAGAGAAAAGCAUAAGAAAUAAAUCUGAAUAUGUGUCUGUAUAUACACUCAAGAAACGAAUGUAAACACCGCACUACCUCUUAAUAAAGAUAUAUUUAUAUAAAGCAUGCAAGCAUAAAAUAUUUUGAAAUUUUGAAAACAGUAAGCAAGAGUUUUUAACACUUAGCUAAAUUUUAUUGGACAUGUAAUCAUUUUAUAAAUCUCCCUUAUAAAACUUAGGGUAUUACCAACCAUAAAUUAUUCUUCUAUGUUCUUGAACACAAUAUAUACAAAGGAAUCAUUUCUCAAUGAAUGAAAAUAAAUGUUAAAGGGCAAAAUAUUAAUUUUAUCACAAUUAUCUGCAAUUUGACAGCAUGCACCAAGUAGAAAAUCAUGUAGAAUCACUUCUAAUAGUAACAGGACCAUACAAAAAUGCAGAGCUACUCAAUAAUGGAAAAUAAAAGGAGUGCAUUCGGACCUUACAAACACCAAGCCUACUGUUAGAACCAUCUCUCCAAUAGCCCAAGAAACUCUUUCACCCAAUGGCUUUUCCCUCAUCCAUUGGUGGAAAUCAUCCAACAUCCUCAAGCUCUCAUUAUUAGUAUAUUAUUAAUAUAGAUUUUCUGGAACUUUAAUUUAAUUUAUCUAUUAAUAUAGAUUUUCUGGAAAUUGAAUUUAACUUAAUUUUAUCAGAUAUAUUUGAUUACCAAGACUCCCCUUUCUGGGUCAACUUAAACUAUGAAGUCUUUCACAAUCAGCAACAGAACGAGAUUAGAUUUAUCACCAUAGCAAAAAAUCCUUUUCUAAGGCAAUAAAUUCAAUAAUCGAAAUAAUCAAAAAUCAGAAAAAAAAUGAAAAUCAUAAACGCACCCGGUAGCAUCGCCAGACGGAGGUGGUGAUGCAUUGUGAAGAGUGUGAGAAUCUGAGAUCUGGUGGCUUCCUCGCGGAUUCUCCACCGAACGGCGGUGCACGCCGGUGGGUGACGGAACGGUGCGGGCGUCGAGGAGGAGAGAAAGAGAAAGAGGGCGAGAUUUGAAAGACAGCGAGAUAAGCAUGGGUUCUAAAAAUUAUCCCUAAAUGUAAAACCAAAAUUUGGCUGCUGAAUGAAUAAAUAUUCAAAUUUCAAAUUUUGAAUCUAAACUUACCAACUUUCACAGCCAAAAAAUUACCCAACAGCUGAGAAAGAAACUUAUGUACGAAAAAACUGAAAGAAAAAGGAUUAGACAGAAACAAUGAAACAAAGGAUCUUGGAAAGGAAGCAGUCCAAAACUUGUUUUAAUCGGCUCGAUAGAAAGCAAAAGCAAUAAAUUUUUAGAGAGAAAAAGAGUUAAACUGCAGUGACAUUAUGAGCAUUCCAACUACGUGUAAGAACAAUAUGAAAGCAUGUUUUCCAAACGUAAUGCGACGUGUUAGAAGGCUGUGUUGAAAAAUGU